CCUGCUCACACCCGGCUAGUAACCAAGGACGACAUCACACUCUCAGCGCGAUGCAUACAAGAGGCAUCGGGGAUACUGAGACAGCUUGAUCUACCCACGGACUCACUAUCCCUGCCAAGGCCAGCGGAAUGACCCAAGAACCCGCUGAACUGGGACGCAGCCAGCGUGGCGGAAUUUGUCCCCAGACAACCGACCGGAGCACCCACAGCCGUAUCUACCCCGUGAAGAAACUGCUGGGACCAUCUUUCACAACCUGUCUAACCACCAACUGGCUUAAAUAGACUGGCUACC